rnacentral:rRNA from 1 species
UACGUAGGUGGCGAGCGUUGUCCGGAUUUACUGGGCGUAAAGGGCGUGCAGGCGGUUUGGCUAGUCUAGGGUGAAAGCUCCCGGCUUAACUGGGAGAGGUCCUUGGAUACUGGCAAACUUGAGGGAGGCAGAGGAAAGUGGAAUUCCCGGUGUAGUGGUGAUAUGCGUAGAUAUCGGGAGGAACACCAGUGGCGAAGGCGGCUUUCUGGGCCUUACCUGACGCUGAGACGCGAAAGCGUGGGGAGCGAACCGG